rnacentral:lncRNA from 1 species
CCCCUUUCAGGUAGGUAGACGGUUCGUGAAUGAGGUACAAAGCCCUUCAACCUCAGGAACGUAAAUGCAUGUGGAAUUGGUUUGAGACACAGUAAUGGCUUUGUGUGGAAAAGACCCAUUUUGACAAUAUCAGAAGUGAGGAACUGCAGAAAGGAAAAGCAGAGCAGUCAGAGGAUGCAUGUCCUCCAAUAUCUCCUGCCUUUUACAUAGCACAGCCUAGGUGAAACGCAUAUGCUCUAGGACUGUACUGCCCAGAAGAAGAGAGCUGAAGAGAGCUCAGCAAUAGGACUGCACAAUACAAAUGCAAUGCAGCUGUUUGUUCAUUACCUAAGGAAUUUAAGCUAUUCUUCCUCAGGGCCACACUAAAGCAUAGUUUCAGGGACAGGUCACUUUUAGGUAACCUUACCUCACUCUUCUUGUGUGUCCUGCAGCCUGAGCGAGAGCAGGGGACAGAACCUCAUGUAAAGCCAGGGCUGGAGGAGGAUGGCACGCAGCGCACCCACGCCCUCCUUGGCAGCCAGGGCUGAGUGCCUGCUAUCCUCUAGAGGGUGCUGCGGGCUCAGCCAGCCUGAAUCCCGGCUCUGACACAGGUGAGCGAUGCUGACUGUCAGCAGCUGUGAGCUGGAGUGGGUCCCACCGCCUGCGGGUCCUGCAGCCACAGCAGUGCAGGAGGAAGAGGAGGAGGAAGGUGCCCUCGGCUCCAUCACCUGUCAGCAUCCUUCUCCAUGCUCCUGUCUUGUCACCCAUCCUCUCCCCAGCACUUGCAGGAGCAGCGCUUUCAUAGACUGCCACAUCUCCGUGCAGGCAUGAGGAAGUAAACAUAUCUGAGAGAACCUCCACAUAAAGCACCAGCAAUUGGCCCAGGCCCUGUCUACCUACUCAGACACCACGUUAAGCACUACUCAGAGGAUCGCUUUAAGUUGCUUCAAGUACCUCCAGUUGUUUUCUGACUGGCUUCUGCUUUGGUCAUUGACUGUGAGUGGGAAGCAAAACAGCAUUCAGCACGCUUGCAAAAAGGCAGAAUCACUUGGUGCUGAAGCUCUACCUCCAUGGGGAAGGCAUCAAUCAAUAAAAAAAGAAAUGAAAAUCCA